UUGAACGCUGGCGGCAGGCCUAACACAUGCAAGUCGAGCGGAUGAAGGGAGCUUGCUCCUGGAUUCAGCGGCGGACGGGUGAGUAAUGCCUAGGAAUCUGCCUGGUAGUGGGGGAUAACGUCCGGAAACGGGCGCUAAUACCGCAUACGUCCUGAGGGAGAAAGUGGGGGAUCUUCGGACCUCACGCUAUCAGAUGAGCCUAGGUCGGAUUAGCUAGUUGGUGGGGUAAAGGCCUACCAAGGCGACGAUCCGUAACUGGUCUGAGAGGAUGAUCAGUCACACUGGAACUGAGACACGGUCCAGACUCCUACGGGAGGCAGCAGUGGGGAAUAUUGGACAAUGGGCGAAAGCCUGAUCCAGCCAUGCCGCGUGAGUGAAGAAGGUCUUCGGAUUGUAAAGCACUUUAAGUUGGGAGGAAGGGCAGUAAGUUAAUACCUUGCUGUUUUGACGUUACCAACAGAAUAAGCACCGGCUAACCUCGUG
rnacentral:rRNA from 1 species